UACGUAGGGGGCUAGCGUUGUCCGGAAUCAUUGGGCGUAAAGAGCGUGUAGGCGGCUUGGUAAGUCCGCUGUGAAAGUCCAGGGCUCAACCCUGGAAAGCCAGUGGAUACUGUCAAGCUAGAGUCCGGAAGAGGCGAGUGGAAUUCCUGGUGUAGCGGUGAAAUGCGUAGAUAUCAGGAGGAACACCUGUGGCGAAAGCGGCUCACUGGACCAUAACUGACGCUGAUGCACGAAAGCUAGGGGAGCAAACGGG
rnacentral:rRNA from 1 species